CCUACGGGCGGCAGCAGUGAGGAAUAUUGGUCAAUGGACGCAAGUCUGAACCAGCCAUGCCGCGUGCAGGAAGACUGCUCUAUGAGUUGUAAACCGCUUUUGUACGAGGGUAAACGCAGCUACGUGUAUCUGUCUGAAGGUUUCGUACGAAUAAGGAUCCGCCAACUCCGUGCCAACAGCCGCUGUAAUACGGAGGAUUGCAGCGUGAUCCGGAUUUAUUGGGUUUAAAGGGUGCGUAGGCGGUAGGAUAAGUUAGGGGGGAAAUCCCGAGGCUCAACUUCGGAAUUGCCUCUGAUACUGUUCGGCUAGAGAGUAGUUGCGGUAGGCGGAAUGUAUGGUGUAGCGGUGAAAUGCUUAGAGAUCAUACAGAACACCGAUUGCGAAGGCAGCUUACCAAGCUACUUCUGACGUUGAGGCACGAAAGCGUGGGGAGCAAACAGGAUUAGAUACCCCAGUAGUC
rnacentral:rRNA from 1 species